GAUGAACGCUGGCGGCGUGCCUAAUACAUGCAAGUCGAGCGAACAGACGAGGAGCUUGCUCCUCUGACGUUAGCGGCGGACGGGUGAGUAACACGUGGAUAACCUACCUAUAAGACUGGGAUAACUUCGGGAAACCGGAGCUAAUACCGGAUAAUAUAUUGAACCGCAUGGUUCAAUAGUGAAAGACGGUUUUGCUGUCACUUAUAGAUUGAUCCGCGCCGCAUUAGCUAGUUGGUAAGGUAACGGCUUACCAAGGCAACGAUGCGUAGCCGACCUGAGAGGGUGAUCAGCCACACUGGAACUGAGACACGGUCCAGACUCCUACGGGAGGCAGCAGUAGGGAAUCUUCCGCAAUGGGCGAAAGCCUGACGGAGCAACGCCGCGUGAGUGAUGAAGGUCUUCGGAUCGUAAAACUCUGUUAUUAGGGAAGAACAAAUGUGUAAGUAACUAUGCACGUCUUGACGGUACCUAAACAGAAAGCCACGGCUAACUACGUG
rnacentral:rRNA from 1 species